AAGUCUGGAAGCGGGAGAAGCGGCGGUGUCUGUGCGCCAGCGCCGGACUUUUCGGCUCUGUUCGCGCCGUCCCAGCUCGGCUCCGAUCUUACAGCCACAGGUCCUGGGAGCACAGCGUCAGGAGGGGCGAGAUGCCGGACUGGUGGGCUGGUGUUUCGAGGGUCCCAGGGUCGGCAGGGCCAGGCCAUCCCCAGGACGGACGGCACAGGUCUGGAGCUCUGUGUCCACCGCUCUGGGCGCCUGGCACCAGGGAAACCCCUAACACCCACCCUCACGGGGAGGGGGCUCCAUAAUAGAGAGGGAAGACCUUCCUCCUCUGCAGCCUGAUGUGCUUGCGGCAGGAAUCCCAAGGGUCCCACAGGCUUCUAGGAGUUGCCGGCCUCGGUUCUCCAUCGACGACACACUAGGCUGAGUCCAGUAAAUGUCUACUCCCCGUGGCCCCUAGGGACUGAAGACCUGGGUAAUGCAGAAUGUGGCGGGGCACUGGACUGCGCCUGCCUCCGAGGACCAAGGACCCUCCCUCCCUGCCGGAGCCUCAGGUGGAAGUGGGCGGAGUCCCUGCCCUGGAGGGGCUGAAUCAUUGUUUAUAUGGAAAUAUGCCUGAUUUUUGAGUGUUAAUUGUGUAUCCUGCAACUUGGCUAAAUCCUGUUUUAGUUUUGACAGUUUUCUGGUGGAUUUUUCUACUUAAAUGAUGUCAUCUAUGAACACAGAUCAUUUUACUUCUUCCUUUCUAGUUUAGACGCCUCCUACUUUCUUUCAUUGCCUCACUGCUUUGCCUAGGACUUAAGGUACUAGAUUGAACAGAAAUAGCAAGAGUGGGCGACCUUGCCUUGUUCCUGACCUGACCGCGGAGGAUGACAUUAGACACGAGCUUUUCAUCAGAGGCCUUUAUUACGUUGAUCUUUAUGAUGGAAGAGGUUGAACCUUGUCACGUGCUAUUCCUGCCUCGGCUGGGACAAGCACGGAGCUUCCUCCCACGCCCUAUCCACAUACACUGCACAUUUUUGCGGACGAGCUCUCCUACGUUUGGCUUCGUUUGCUGUGCUCAGACCUGCGCAGCAUCCGUAUGGGGGCCUCUGGGCUGAACUGACACUUUGUCGUACUCUAGUUUGCAUCACUACCCCACUGCCUCACUCACUGUAGCUGAACAAAAAGUCUGAAUAUCUGGUGUUGUGUGUCCUCCAACUAUGUUCUUCCAGGUUGUUCUGGUUCUGGGCCCUUUGUAUUUCUGCAUAAAUUAUGAAGUUAGCUACGGGUUUCCGAAAAGAAAUACCUGCUGAGGUAUUUUAUGGGGACUGUAUUUGUAUCGAAUCCACAAAUCAAACCGGGAGCACUGAACUUUGCCAUUGUCCCGGGGAAAAGACACCACAACCUACAAAGGAAGAAACGAUAAACUGGGAACGAAUUUUUCUAACUCAUAUCCCAGGCAAAGAGCCUACACCCCCUAUAAAUAGAGGUCCUAGAAACUGAUAAGAAAAAGAACAGCCACAGGAUAUAAAAACGGGCAAAAUACAUUAAAACACACUUCACAAAAAAGAAAUAUAAAGAGCCUCAAACACAUGAUAUAUACUCAGUCUCGGUCAUGACAAAAUUACUAAAUCCAAAAGAAGCUGUGUACAAACAGGGACUUUUAUUCAUCGUUGAAUGCACGGUGCCUUUGGAUGGAGGCAGUCUGGCCACACGUAUCAAAAUUACGAAUGUAAGUCCACUUUGGUUCGACAAUCCCAGUUCAGGGACUUUAUCCCACGGAAACACCUCCACACUUUGACAUCUGCACAUGGUCCUGCACUGUGGCCUUCUGCAUACCAGCAAAAGAUUGGAAACAAGCCACUUUCCUUCAUCAGAGGUCCGUGAGAUAAAUGAUGACCACCCACCAGAUGCAACACAACGCAGGCAGGGCAGGCGAGGAAGAAACUGUGAGGCGUGAAGCUUCUUAUCUACUGGUUUGCCGAGAUCUCUCCCUGGUCCUAACUGCCCACAGGGCCAACCCCUCGUUCUUCCGUCCCUCCCACUCUGAGCUGGAUUUUUGAGCACCUGGAUACAUGGCUUCAAUGCCAGGGUCAGGGUGGCCACUGGUGGUUAAAGCCCAGGGAUCCGAGCCCCGUUUGCACACUGGCCAGAAGGGGACCCUAGCCGGUCUCUUGGAAGACAUCACCCAGCUCCCUUGGUGAACUCUGAGGUUACCAGAGGGAAGACGAGUCAUAGGAAGCUCUUGGUCUCACAGGAUCAAGACCAACUUCGUGUAGGAACCUAAGGAUGGGAUUUCCUCCCAAGCCCAUUUUGAAGAUGGCCACGCCGAGGACCUCUGAAGGGAACGCUCACAGGGGCGUUCAGACCAGUAAGCCCACCAGCCCUCCAGCCCCACCCAGAUUCGUCUCGAGCUGCUGGACAAGGACGUGUGUACAACCUGCCAAUCCCGGCAGCUGCUCCCGGAAGGGCGGGGACUGCUUGUCUGUGACCCACAUGCCCUCGCUGGAGCCCCGCUCCCGCCAGCUCCGUGCAAGCAGGGACGGUGCUUUUCCUGUGCUUUCUUCCCAAGCCUCUAGAAUAGUGCCUGGUACACAGUAGGCCCUCACACGGGCGUUGAAUCCGUGUGAUCCUCCCAAUUCCCGCAGGCUGCUGUUACUUUCCAGGUGUGGAAACCUGAGAUGCAAAGUCAUCUUGGGUUAGCUGACCGACUCGUUCAUUCGUUCAUGCAUUCAUUCAUGUAUCCAGCACCUAUGUGCCGCUCCCUUUAACGUGCAGGCAUCUGGAAUAUAAAUGUGAACCCUAGACACUCUCCCUGCCCUCGAGCUCACAGCUGAACAGGGGGGACUGUAUCCACCCCACAGCCAGUGAGGGGGGCUGCAAAGCCGCAGCCACGUCCAGCACAGGAUCGUGCCCGGCUCUGGAGUCAGAAGCUGCUCUGGCACCAGCCGUGGAGCUCCAGGAUCAGAGAGACCCCUCCGGCUCCCACACACGGACCAGCUCGGGGGUUAUAGGCAGCUGCGGCUCUGGAGCCAGACCGAGAGCCGGGGUCGGCGCUCGCACCAAUUCUGCUACCGGGGCCAGGGUCAGAGUGUCACGACGAGAGCCAGCUCCAGCACCAGCCCCGGUCCCGGGUCCCGCGCCAGUCCCCAAGCCAGAGCCAGGCCUUGCCAGCAUGGCGCUGACUCCCACGCCGAGCCCACCCCGGCGUCUCCCCGGCAUCCGCUCCCGAGCAACAACCGGGGCCACCUCUGGCACUAGAGCUGUCUCGGGAAAGCAGUGUUUGUUUCUAAGUGUUCUUUCUCUUUUUCCCGUACGUUAAAGUUUAUUACAUUUUAUGCUUAAAAUGCACACACAGUGGAAAUUUAACUUUUAAUCCUUUUAAAUUGUACAAUUCAGUGGCAUUAAGUAAAUCCAAUAUGCUGUGCGACCAUCACCACUAUCUAUUUCUAGAAUGUUCUCAUCACGCUAAACAGAAACCCUGUAUACGUUACCGCAGACAUCGGACUCUGCCGGGCCCCCCAGGCCCGCUUCCAGCUCUGGGGGAUUCCAGAAGCUCUUUUCAGGAGCCAGGGAUACUUGGCUUUUUCUGUGGGUGCAGGGUGGGAAACACUGGCACCACCAAGGGUCCUGGUGCCCACACCGCUUGCCCCCCUGACCACCACUAAUGUUCUUUCCGUUUCUGUGCAUUUCCUUCUCCCGGCCUGCAGCCACGGCUGACCCUUCCUCUGUCCCUUCCCCUGCCCAUCUCCCACCAACACCGAAGGCCCUGGCGAUGCCAACCUGCUCUACACCAUGAACCCUCCCUGCCGACUGGGCCUCUGUCCUAAAGAAUCAGACUUGCACCAAGAGGGCAAAGGUCAGGCAUGCAGCCAGCUCAACCCACCCCCUACAGGAAGCAGACAGGACUCAAAAUUGCUGAGGGUACCUUCUCACUGGCCCCUAGUGCUGGCCGCAUUCCCCCAGGGGCUAGUCAAGCAGCUACGUACUUACGGACUGAGCCCUCCAGACAAACCUGCCAGCCCAGGCCACUCCCAGGGCCCAGACACUCCCCCAAAGCCCAU